rnacentral:rRNA from 1 species
GACGAACGCUGGCGGCGUGCUUAACACAUGCAAGUCGAGCGGUAAGGCCCUUUCGGGGGUACACGAGCGGCGAACGGGUGAGUAACACGUGGGUGACCUGCCCUCAGCUCUGGGAUAAGCCUGGGAAACCGGGUCUAAUACUGGAUAUGACUCCAUGACGCAUGUUGUGGGGUGGAAAGCCUUGUGCGGCUGAGGAUGGCCCGCGGCCUAUCAGCUUGUUGGUGGGGNGAUGGCCUACCAAGGCGACGACGGGUAGCCGGCCUGAGAGGGCGACCGGCCACACUGGGACUGAGACACGGCCCAGACUCCUACGGGAGGCAGCAGUGGGGAAUCUUGCGCAAUGGGCGAAAGCCUGACGCAG